UAGCAGGAUUAGUUCCAGAGCAGCAGUUCAGUGCUGUGCUGGCGUUCCCCCUGCACAAACUAAACUGUCUCCAGCUAUCUCAGUCUGUCUUCGUGUGACGGAACUGGGACGCAUGGUCUCAGACAA
rnacentral:snoRNA from 1 species